rnacentral:lncRNA from 1 species
ACUCAUAGAAACGGCCAUUCGUUAAAUGCAACGUCUGCAUAUCUCAAUAUCUUUUGAUCAGUUUGAUAUAUAUUAGCUUGAUGGGAAAUAAAUAAUAGAAAGAAUGAUAUAGAGAGCAUUUAACCCAACAUCUUAUGUCCACCGUCGAUUAGAUGCUUUCCUUUAAACUUGCCGUCCACCCCAAAACAUAAUCCAGUAACCGUCCAAGUUUCAACUAACGAUUCCGUGACCGUG